GACGAACGCUGGCGGCGUGCUUAACACAUGCAAGUCGAACGAUGAAGCCCAGCUUGCUGGGUGGAUUAGUGGCGAACGGGUGAGUAACACGUGGGCAACCUGCCCCAAACUCUGGGAUAACUCCUCGAAAGAGGUGCUAAUACCGGAUACGAACUAGGUAGACAUCUGCACUAGUUGGAAAGUUUUCCGGUUUGGGAUGGGCCCGCGGCCUAUCAGCUUGUUGGUGAGGUAACGGCUCACCAAGGCUACGACGGGUAACCGGCCUGAGAGGGCGAGCGGUCACACUGGGACUGAGACACGGCCCAGACUCCUACGGGAGGCAGCAGUGGGGAAUAUUGCGCAAUGGGCGAAAGCCUGACGCAGCGACGCCGCGUGAGGGAUGAAGGUCUUCGGAUCGUAAACCUCUUUCAGUAGGGACGAAGCGAAAGUGACGGUACCUAAAGAAGAAGCACCGGCUAACUACGUGCCAGCCGCCGCCGUAA
rnacentral:rRNA from 1 species